UUUAUUUACUUACAAACAGAUUUAAUAUAUAAUGUGCGAGUCCUAGUUUUUCCUUGGCCUCCAACUUCUAGAAGCUAGAAGACCGGCAGUAGCUCUAGACAGAAGAUGAGUAGAUGCUUCCAAUGGGAAGUCACUCCACAUUUUCGCUUAUAGCCUUACAAAGGGCUGAUUGCAAGUAACCGCAGAAAAAAAAAGCUUUUUAUAGAAAAGUAUGGUAAAUAUACGUUUACUACAGUCGGUGCCUAUUACAAACAUUAACUAAACAAGACAUAUUUAGCCUUCUUAUGUGUACAACAUAAAGUCUGUAAGUUACCAUGGUAACUGUGAUUUUCGACUAAAGCAGGCCGCACACCAGCCAUACAUUUGUAACUCGAUAAUUGUGGCGCUACAUUUGAAACGCGACACAUUUAUCGCCCCCAUACAUUUGUACGUGAGCACGCACACCGAGGAAACAUUUGUGGCGGGCGCACUUUGUGGCGAGACGUUGUCCGCGCUACACGAAUUCAAGAUCGAACACGUUCGUUUUUUGUGUCGCGUUGGUUUGCAAAAAUGAAAGACAACAUUGAAUUUUACGUUGAGUUUAUUGCAGAGGUUGAAAAAAACCCUGUAUUAUACAAUCACACGCUCAAUGAUUAUAGUAACAGACGGAUUACAGAAAUUAUUUGGACUAAGAUUGGCGAAAAAUUCAAUGAAAAGAGUGAUGAUUGUAAGUCCAAAUGGAAAUCCAUACGUUCAGCCUACAUACGAUCUCUCAAUACAAAAUCUAAAAGUGGGUCCGCUGCUGGGUCGAAAAAGGAGUACUAUUUAGCGCCAUAUUUGAAAUUUCUAAACCCUUUUACAAAAAACCGACCACAAGAGGGUAAUUUACCAGUACAAGAAGAUGAACAACGUUCUGAACAUGAAUCCCAAUCUCAUGAAUCUCAAUCCCAGAUUGAGGAAACUUCAAACAAUGUUCCCGAUUUCACAUCUGCCGAGGAAGAUUCACUGAGAAAUGAAACGCCUGCAGCUGGUUCGUCUGUACCCAGUCCCCAUUCUUCGAGCUCAAUACAGACUCCUCAACCAUCAAAAUCUCGGAAACACAUGAAUGAAGCAGACAGAUGUACUAUUGAAUAUUUUACACUAAAAAACAAAGACUGGAAAAUAAUCAACGAUCUGAGAAACAACCAAAAAAUCCAUGUGAAAUGUUUCUUUUAAGUUUAGUUCCACACAUGACAUCCAUGUCCCAGCAACAGCAAUUAAGCUUUCAAAGAGGGGUACUGGACUUAAUAGAAAACAUUAAGUACAGGCAGCUACCACGUCGAUCAUUGGAUACGAGUUCGUCAAAUUUAUCAACAUUUUAUACAAAUUUUUCUCAAGUUCUAAAUGAUGACCGUCCGUUGCAAAGGGCAACCGAGAUUGCUCAAUCAGAAUACCAGCCUUCGCAAGCACCAUGUACAAUUCUUCAAUCAGAUGAGUCACCUGCACAACAAUCAAACGAGACUCCUCAGUCUGAAAGUCAAUUUUUACUUAAUAUCUUACAUACCUUAAAGUGAUGAGCAAACGCUCUUCAGCCGAAAUACACUCUCUGAAGUGGGUAUUUUGUUUUGUUAAACUUAAUAUAACUAAAUUUAAUAAUAGCUUGUAUGUGUUUUCAGGCAUUCGAUAAUAUAACUGGAACUUUUCUUCAUCGGAUUGUAAUUCUUGCGAAAUUUUGAAAUUCCCGUACAUUGUGCAAUCUUGAUUAAACGGAUGAACCCAA